rnacentral:rRNA from 1 species
UACGGAGGGUGCAAGCGUUAUCCGGAUUUACUGGGUUUAAAGGGUGUGUAGGCGGACUUUUAAGUCAGGGGUGAAAUCCCGAGGCUCAACCUCGGAACUGCCUUUGAUACUAUUGGUCUUGAAUCUUGUUGAGGUGGGCGGAACGGGUCAUGUAGCGGUGAAAUGCGUAGAUAUCACUCGGAAGGCCAAAGGCGAAGGCAGGUUACUGGUACGCAACUGACGCUGAGGCACGAAAGCGUGGGGAGCAAACAGG